rnacentral:rRNA from 1 species
GGAGCACUGCAACCUGAGGAUUGUGCGGUUUAAUUGGAUUCAACGCCGGAAAACUCACCGGGGGCGACGAUUACAUGAAGGCCAGGCUGAUGACCUUGCCUGAUUUUUCGAGAGGUGGUGCAUGGCCGCCGUCAGUUCGUACCGUAAGGCGUUCUGUUAAGUCAGAUAACGAACGAGACCCUCAUUGCCAUUUGCUAGGCUCCUCUCCGGAGGGGUUGCACUAUGGCGAUACCGCCACUGCUGAAGUGGAGGAAGGAGGGGGCAACGGUAGGUCAGUAUGCCCCGAAUCUCCCGGGCUACACGCGCGCUACAAAGGGCAGGACAAUGGGCUUCGACGCCGAGAGGCGGAGGCAAUCCCUAAACCUGCUCGUACUUCGGAUUGAGGGCUGCAAUUCGCCCUCAUGAAGCUGGAAUACGUAGUAAUCGCGGGUCAACAUCCCGCGGUGAAUAUGCCCCUGCUCCUUGCACACACCGCCCGUCAAACCACCUUAGUUGGGUCUGGACGAGGGUUUGUCUUCUGACACGCUCGAAUCUGGGUUCAGCGAGGAGGGUUAAGUCGUAACAAGGUAUCCGUA